rnacentral:sRNA from 1 species
GCUGACGUCUGCUGGAGCAGGCUCUGUUCGGGGUGUUGUGUGAGCUGGUGGAGACCCAGGCCCUGUUUGUCUCUGGCAGGGGCCUAAGCUGGUAGGAGCUCGCUGGGGUCGUGUCUGAAGGUGACUCGGUUUCGAGAGUGGGCGCUGGGAUCCCUGGAACUGAUUUUCCUUCUUUCACUUUGCUUGCAGGGAGAGGAGGCAGGCGGGAGGAGCGGCCCUUUGUGGACCAGUUUGGAUUUGACGUGGUGACGUGCUGUGGAUACCUCCCCCAGGUGAAUGACUGGCAGGAGGACUGGGUCGUGUUCUAUGCCCGGCAGCGCAUUCAGCCCCAGAUGGACAUGGUGGAGAAGGAGUCUGGGGACAGGGAGGCCCUCCAGCUUUGGUCUGCUCUGCAGUUGAAGAUCCCUGACCUGUUCCGUGACCUGGAGAUCAUCCCAGCCUUACUCCACGGGGACCUCUGGGGCGGAAACGUGGCAGAGGAUUCCUCUGGGCCGGUCAUUUUUGACCCAGCUUCUUUCUACGGCCACUCGGAAUAUGAGCUGGCAAUAGCUGGCAUGUUUGGGGGCUUUAGCAGCUCCUUUUACUCUGCCUACCACAGCAAAAUCCCCAAGGCCCCGGGAUUCGAGAAGCGCCUUCAGUUGUAUCAGCUCUUUCACUACU